CAAUACAAAGAAGAACCUGCGGAGGGAUCAUUACACAAAAAAAAUAUGAAGGCUGACUGCAGCUGACCUACAUGGCCAGUUUGAUCGAGGCUGAAUUAUUUAUUCACCCUUGUCUUUUGCGCACUUGUUGUUUCCUGGGCGGGUUCGCCCGCCACCAGGACCACACCAUAAACCUUUUUAUCUGUAGUUGCAAUCAGCGUCAGUAACAAAUAAAAAUCAUUUACAACUUUCAACAACGGAUCUCUUGGUUCUGGCAUCGAUGAAGAACGCAGCGAAAUGCGAUACGUAGUGUGAAUUGCAGAAUUCAGUGAAUCAUCGAAUCUUUGAACGCACAUUGCGCCCUUUGGUAUUCCAAAGGGCAUGCCUGUUCGAGCGUCAUUUGUACCCUCAAGCUUUGCUUGGUGUUGGGCGUUUUUAGUCUUUGGCUACAGCCCGAAGACUCGCCUUAAAACGAUUGGCAGCCGGCCUACUGGUUUCGCAGCGCAGCACAUUUUUGCGCUUGCAAUCAGCAAAAGAGGUUGGCGAUCCAUCAAGAUCUUACUUUCUCACUUUUGACCUCGGAUCAGGUAGGGAAGC
rnacentral:rRNA from 1 species